rnacentral:rRNA from 1 species
GAGGAGCUUGCUCCUCUGACGUUAGCGGCGGACGGGUGAGUAACACGUGGAUAACCUACCUAUAAGACUGGGAUAACUUCGGGAAACCGGAGCUACUACCGGAUAAUAUAUUGAACCGCAUGGUUCAAUAGUGAAAGACGGUUUUGCUGUCACUUAUAGAUGGAUCCGCGCCGCAUUAGCUAGUUGGUAAGGUAACGGCUUACCAAGGCAACGAUGCGUAGCCGACCUGAGAGGGUGAUCGGCCACACUGGAACUGAGACACGGUCCAGACUCCUACGGGAGGCAGCAGUAGGGAAUCUUCCGCAAUGGGCGAAAGCCUGACGGAGCAACGCCGCGUGAGUGAUGAAGGUCUUCGGAUCGUAAAACUCUGUUAUUAGGGAAGAA